UUAAGUUCAGCGGGUAGUCCUACCUGAUUUGAGGUCAAAUGUAAAUGAUUUGUUCUACUACAGAACGAUUUGAAGCAUGAACAGAUAAUCUCAUCAAUAGCUCGACGGCGUAGAUAAUUAUUACACUGGAGAGCGCUUGACAAAUAUUCACGCUAAUGCAUUUAAGAAGAGCUGAAAGGAUAUGUUCCAGCAGCUUCCAA
rnacentral:misc_RNA from 1 species